rnacentral:misc_RNA from 1 species
GAUGAAGAACGUAGCGAAAUGCGAUAAGUAAUGUGAAUUGCAGAAUUCAGUGAACCAUCGAAUCUUUGAACGCACAUUGCGCCCGGCAGUAAUCUGCCGGGCAUGCCUGUCCGAGCGUCAUUUCUGCCCUCGAGCCUGUCCAGCAUCUAGGUGCUGUUCCGGCCCGGCGUUGGGGCACUACGGGAAGCCUCGUGCUAUCCCCCGUAGGCCCCGAAAUGAAGUGGCGGUCCUGCCGCGGCUCCCCCUGCGUAGUAUUACAGCUCGCUUCGGGACCCGGUGGAGGCCUGCCGUCAAACCUUACUCUCUAAGUUUGACCUCGGAUCAGGUAGGGUUACCCGCUGAACUUAAGCAUAUCAAUAAGCGGGGA